rnacentral:lncRNA from 1 species
UUUCAAAACUUUAUUUUAUGAUAUGUAAUUUUUAAUCUUCUUAUACACUAAUACUUUUGAAGUUAGUUCUUACCUUUUUUAACUUUUUUAAAGUCUUGUUCUUCUUGCAACAAAUGCCUAUAUUACUUAAGUCAAUACAAGUAAAUAGUAGUAAGUAGAAACAAUAUUUAACAUAUAAUAUCUUCUUUAAAAAGCUUCAAGAAAUUUUAAUAGGUGUAGUUUAUAUAUUCAAACUUUUAUAGAUAUGCCAUGUCGCUACUAAAUCUUAUCCUAUAAAUUUUUACUUUUAGAAAAUUACAUUGGAAGUAAUCUAUAAAUUGAUAUUUAUACUACAAGCUUUUUUGUCUAUUAAAAGCAUCCAUA